UUCUACGGUAGAGUGAUAAGAGGAUACUUUCAAGUGUGCUGGUUCUGUAUGGCCAGUCUGCUAACCUCUUUUCGUUCUGCCACCAAU
rnacentral:antisense_RNA from 1 species